UACGGAAGGGGCAAGCGUUGUUCGGAAUCAUUGGGCGUAAAGGGCGCGUAGGUGGUUCUGUAUGUCUACUGUGAAAGCGUACAGCUCAACUGUAUUUUGUCGGUAGAAACUGCAGGACUUGAGGCUGGGAGGGGCUGGUGGAAUUCCCUGUGUAGCGGUGAAAUGCGUAGAGAUGGGGGAGAACACUCGUGGCGAAGGCGGCCAGCUAGACCAGUUCUGACACUGAGACGCGACAGCGUGGGGAGCAAACAGG
rnacentral:rRNA from 1 species